rnacentral:lncRNA from 1 species
AGGGGAACACUCGGCAGAGCCAGAGGCCUGGGCCCAAGUCCUGCCACCAGCUGGCUGUGAAACUGUGGUACAGCACCUUGUGUCCUGCCACCAGCCGGCUGUGAAACUGGUACAGCACCUUGUCCUCAGGUCCUUGGUUUCCUCACUUGUAAAUUCAUGGUUCUCCAUGGCAUCUCUGGUCUUCAACAUUAUUUUGCAUAGAGUCUCAGAAGCUUUAGUGUGAGCGGAUGAUAUGGGCACGAAGCAAGGCACCCAGAAGUGGGGGCAACUACUCUGCUUUCUAAAAUGCAAGGGAACCGGAAAAUCCAGGAGCCGUGCCAAAUGAGAAGAGGAACAAAUGGAGGAACAUCCCAGUCAAGUGACAUUCCUAGUGACAUUCACCAGAACAGAGUCAAGCUUUGGAUCCCAUGUUCUGUGACUUCCUCUUCACCACGCUUCCUCCACACACGUAGCAGCUCAAGGGUUUCUGAUGAGUGGGAGGCUUGACUAGAAUUGAAUUCGAGACAAGCACAAAGAUCAUGAUGCAAAUGAAAGGGACAGAGGGGAGAGAAACAGAAAACAAGUGAGUCAAAUUUGGUCUAUGUUCCCUUUAUGAGCUGUAACGCACACCAUGAAGGUCUGCGGCUUGGCUAUUGAGUCAGUGAGAGCGUGAACCUACUAUUAGAAGAAAAACUCUGAAUACGUCUGAACGUCAGAAAGAACGAAGUUUGGACACAUUGUCUUUAAGAACUGUAACACUCACCCCAAGGGUUUAUGGAUUCAUUCUUGAAAUCAGUGAAACCAAAAGCUUUCCAAAGUUUAACACACAGGGAAAUGACUUACUGCAAAGAACCACUCUUCCCCACGAGACUUCGAGAAGACCCGCUGUCACGGACUGAGUUGUGUCCUCUUAAAAUUCAGAUGUUGGAGUCCAAACCCCCAGUAACUCAGAGUGUGAACGUAUUUGAAGAGGUCUUUAAAGAGGUGAUGAAGGUCUUUGUCUCUGACAAUUUGCCUCUGUGACGUGGAUGGGACUGGAAGUCCAUUUGGAGCCCUGUCUUCUCCACCUAGGGAGAGAGACCCCAUGAGCUCGUCAAGCUCCUUCUGUGACUGAUCAGAGAUCCCACCGUGAGUCCAGCUCCUGGUCCCAUGCUCUGGAUAUAUCGGUCCCUGGCAGCGUGAGUGCCUCUGUGUUCACUGUCCCAUUUGAGAAUUCUAAGUAGAAUUCUGAACAGGCUGGAGCAGAUUGCCCACCCCAAGGGACAGAUGUUGGCUGGUACUGUUGGUAUUCAUGGAAGAUUCCUUCUGACACUCCCUCCUUCUUUGUAAUUGCCAUGAACUGGAGCACUGGGCCAAUAUAAAUCAUCCAAGGGUGAACACGCUGCACAUGGACGGCUCCUCUUUGUUUUUGAAGGGAUUCCAUCUCUAUUUUGCCAUGUGCUCCUUCACCCCACUCCCCACCCCCGUCUUUCAUUUCUUUCUCUGGAAAAGAUACUUCAACUCACAGGACUGCGAUGUUGAAACGGACACCCAAGAGCAUCACAGAUGGGCCAGGCCUGGACCUCUCGGGACAACAUUCCUCACGACUUUUAGAUAGAAGAGAUUAGAGAUUUGGGACUGGUGGCAACUGGUAACGUUUUCAGUGUUUGGUAAACAGCCAGGGUCCGGAGCUCUGGGAACAGCCUGAUUUAGCUCUUUGUUUAAGUUUUGUGUUAGAGGCUCCCAAGAAGCUGAUGCAGGGGAAAGAAAUUAACAACCAUGGCUCAUUCACAGCCAGGCAGCCAAAUGGACAGCUCUAUAAGACUCAAGCCGACAGCGGAGAGAGUGCAACCAAACAGCCUUGGCCCAGCUUUCAGAGGAGAACGUUAUUCACCCCAACUGCUCUGCAUCUGCCUGGAUGUCUGCCAAGAUCUGUGAGCAUUACAGCGUUGGUAUGCUUUGGGUGAGGCCUGUGGCUAUGGCAACAAGUUGGGAGCAACCCGGUCCCUGGGAAUGAGAACAGUGUCUAAAAUCAGGCAGGCGAGGGGCAGGGAGGAGAGGUAAAGGUUGGACUUGCCUGAAGAUGGAGCCGUUUUAUUGUUGUGGGUAAAGCUGCUACCAUUAGGGGCUGUUUACAGAGUGGGUGCAGCUCAAGCUGGGAGCAUGUUAGACUCAGCGACUACGAUCAACCUAUUGACUUGUUCCCAUGAGACAGAGUAAAUUAACUGUUGCAGUACUGGUCAUGUACCACCAACCUCCUGUGAACCAGCCCUCAGUGAAACAUUUAUGUGAAAGGCCAUGGUGUUCCCAUAAGAGGGUGCAUGUUCUCUCCCUUGACUAACUCUUCAGUAUGCCUCAUUCUCACGCGCUGGUGUGCAGGAAGGAGUCCAACAUGCCCCAUUGACAGUCAUGCCCUGUAUGUGGAAAGUCUUCAGGUAGAGCACUGGGCUCAGGUUUGAAGAUGUGAGUUCUAAUCCUAGCAAGGCCAUUACCUCCCAGUGACCUCAUGUCUCGAUUUCCUCAACCACAAAACAAAGGCAUUGGUGAGCUGACCUCUAAGGCCUCUCCAGUUCUCACCUUCUGUGUCUCUACAGACUGGAGACUAGAAGAUUAUGGGCACUUUUAUUGAGUCUUCAUUUUGUUUCCAUUUCUUUGUAGUCAUCAGCUGGAGUUGAGGACAAGUUUUAACAAUAGAUAGGUUUCUUUUUGUCUCUUUUUAAAAAAUUUUAUUUAAAAUAAAUGCCAAGUGUAGUGGCUCAUACCUGUAAUCCCAGCACUUUGGGGAGGCCAAGGUGGGAGGAUUGCUUUUGAGUUUGAGACCAGCCUGGGCAACGUGGUGAGACCCUGUUUGUACAAAAAAUUUUAAAUUAGCCAGGCAUGGUGGCGUGUGCCUAUAGUCCUAGCUACUCUGGAGGUAGAGGCAGGAGGAUCCCUUGAACCUGGGAGGUUGAGGCCACAGUGAGCUGUGAUUGUGCUAUUGAACUCUAGCCUGGGCAACAGAGCAAGACCCUGUCUCUUAAAAAAGACUAUUUUUUAAGAACACUUUUAGGUUCACAGCGAAAUUUGGAGGAAACUUGGCAUAUGUCAUAUGCCCCCUGCUCCCAUGCAUGCACAGCCUCUACCAUUAGCAAUGUCCCCACUCAAAUGGUACCUUUGUUGUAAUCAACAACCCUGUACUGACACAUCAUCAUCACCCAAACUCCAUAGUUCACAUUAGGUUUCACUCUUGGUGUGGUGUACAUUCCAUGGGCUUGAACAACUGUAUAAUGACAUUAUCCACCACUGCAGGAUCAUACAGAGUAGUCUCACUGCCCUAAAACUACUCUGUGCUCCACCUGUUUGUCCCUUCUUUCACUCUAAACUCCUGGCAACAACUGACCUUUUUACUGCCUCGAUAGCUUUGCCUUCUUCGGAAUGUCAUGUAGUUGAAAUCAUACAUCAUGAAGCCUUUUCAGAUUGGCUUCAUAUAGGUUUCCUUCCUUCCUUCCUCCCACCACCUUCCUUUCUUUCUGUAUUCCUAACUCUUGGAUGUAUUUUCCCCAGCAUCAUGACUUGAUGGGACUUUUGCUAAGAUAGGCAAUCAUAGAAAGUCAUAAAUCUCUUGUCAGCCUUAUUGGCUCACCUCCGAGAUGGUUCCAACACUCUUUAAGGCCCACUUUUCCAAUCCACAGAUUCCCCAGCAGAAGUCCAAGCUGCUGAGCCUCACAUCAUCUUUUGCACUAGUAAUCUUUACCACUACUUCACUGUAGCAUUUGAAAAUUUUCAUAUGAAGCCAUAGUUCUGUGUCUUUUUUUUUUUUUUUUUUUUUUUGGAGACGGAGUCUUAACCUGUUGCCCAGGCUGGAGUGCAGUGGCACAGUCUUAGCUCACUGCAAGCUCCGCCUCACGGGUUCAAGUGAUUCUUGCCUCAGCCUCCCAAGUAGCUGGGAUUACAGGCGCGCCACCAUGCCCAGCUAAAUUUGUUGGCAUUUUUAGUAGAGAUGGGGUUUCACCAUGUUGGCCAGGCUGGUCUCAAACUCCUUACCUCAGGUGAUCUGCCUGCCUCAGCCUCCCAAAGUGCUGGGAUUAAAGGUGUGAGCCACCGCACCUGGCCUGAAGCCAUAGUUCUUAACCUCAGUUGUGCAAUAGAAUUAUCUGGGGAAUUUAAAAAUUAGAAAAAACCCAUGCCCUGAAGAUUGUGAUCUAACUGGUCUUGCGUAGCGCCUGGGCAUUGGUAUUUUUUAAAUGUUUCCCAACUGAUACUAAUGUGGCCAUUCUGCAAGCCACAGUUGAAAGGCUUAUUCAAGCAUCCUGUUGCUGAAUGCAUGUCGUCCUUACCACAUGACUCUGGAGGUUUUCUUGUAUUCUGAUGUGGCUGCCCUGUUGAGGCCUGCCCCUUAGAGUGGAGAUUAUCCCCUGCAGUAGGCUGCCUGGAAUAUGAUCCCCAGUGAUCCCUGCUUCCUGGUAUUCAGGCCCUGGUGUGAUCCCUUUCCCUUGAAGCCUGGGCUGGAUUAGUGACUUGCUUCUAACCAACAGCAUAUGGCA